UGGAAUGUUCUCUUUUUAUUUUAAAUAUACCUAUUACAAUAUUUUGUUAGGCUUAUAUAGAGCACUAUUAUUUACAUGAUUCAGUGUUUAUCCUUUAGGGAGAAUUCCAGUGCUCAAUAAAUAAGAGUCAAUGAGCUGCUCGUUAACCAUCUUGUAAUUUCAGUGUUCUGAAAUAUUAAUUUCACAUAAAUGGUGAAAGUCUUUGAAAUAAUUAUGGUUACCUGUAGUUUCAUUCAGUAGGUGUCUUCAGUCUGCAGUUAAAUUAUGUUGAAAACUCUGGAUAUAGCUAUAGGUAAUCAGAAGAAAGUUCAACAACAACACCAUACUAAAAAAAUACCACAAAAUAUUAGUGGUUGACCUCUACAUUUCCAGAUGCAUCUCAGGGUGAUGGUAGUGUUCAAAGGGAAGAAAAAAAAGCUUUUUGGUAGACUCCCUGAUAUAAAAUGUCUAGAUCAUGGGGCAAAAUAUACAAUCACUCAUAAAUAAAAAAUACAGGUUUUUACAAGUUCUUUCAACAUGGCAUCUUAAAAUGUGCCUGCAGGUAAGAAUGGUUACCAUUAUUUUUAUUAAGAUUUAAUUUGCCAUGGUUACUCUUUCUUACACAUGAAUUUAUGCAUUAUAUAUAUAUAUUACAUAAAACACAUGAAAGUUGUCUGUACAAGGAAUAUCAUUAGCUGGGAACAUUGAAGAAAGGGUUCCUAUCAGAUCACACUCAAUGUUAUGUGUGUAAAUUCAAAUGUAAAAGAAAGGGACUUUGGUCCUGAUCUUUCACUAACACAAUAAAUGUUGUCUCCACAUGUUUCUAUGUACAGAACUUACUCUCCCUGCUGAGAUUGUCCCAGUCCUGCCUUGACAACCACCCCAUUUUCAUGGGACCCAUCACAGAUACGGAGUUUAAAUCAGGACAAACAGCUUGUUUUUUUCCUCCUAAUCCUCACUAAUGUAUAUCAGAGGUCAAAUCCAUGGCACAAUAUUUAAGUGACUGAAUAUCUAUGAUGUUCAGCUAUGGCAUACAGUUUUAUUUCCUCAGCAGGAAAUAAAGACAGAAAGACAGCAGGGAAAUGCAGCUUGUAACUACCAGGCAUUUAUCCUAGAAAAUGUGACAUUGUCAUCAUUAUUGGACUAGAAACUUAUGUUUAUUGACAUUGUGCCUAUUUUUCAACAAAACAUCAUUGAUUUCAGUAGCAUUACAGUUUGGCAAAGAAUAGUUUUUGAAUUAUCUCUGUUACAGAUUUGAAUCUCUGGCACAUUUAAGACGCUCACCCACCUAUUCAAAUAAUAUUUUAAAGCAAAAUUAAUGUUUGAUAUAAAAUAACAGUUGUGCUGCAAAUGUGGAAAAAUAGUCUACAAAAAAUAAGUAUAAAAGUGAUCUCAGAUUUAUGAAUAUGUUUCAUAUAAACAAGUCCAGUGAAUAAUAUGUGUUAGAAAUGGCCCUUCAUAGCCUGUGUCACAACAGAACAUCACAUUUUUCACAGUUUACAAUAACACAGUUAGAUUCACAAUGUAAUGACACCUUAUAUCAGAAAAAUAGUAUUUUACAAACUAUACAUUUGGCAUCUAUUUUUAGAUUUUUUUUCUGCUUCUUUUUCAGUUCCUUUUUUAUUUUUUUUUAUUUUUUUUUUAAUUUUCUUACAAAAUAGUGCAAAAUUACAGUGCGUUGAUAGAAGAUUUUGUAAAUCCUAAUAAAAAGUCAGUGUACUUAACUGUAUUGUUCAUUCACUGGAAACAGUUUGGCACAUUAGGAUUUUGAAUAGAUGGAAAAGCUUCUCAUUUCUUUUCAGUGUAUCCACGGAUUCUUUAAAACAUUAAAUUAUACCAAGGGAGUUAACUUUCCAAACUUUUUAAUCUCAGCUCUUAUGUGUAUUACAAAGCAGCAAAGAAAGGUUUUGUAAUUAACUUAAUUGCCAAACAGCAUAUAUCAGGCUGGCUUUUCUCAUGAUGUUAUAAAGAAAUGGAUUGAUGGGAACAUUUUCUGUCUGGUAAUUGCUAAAGUGCUUACUUAUAGUUUCAAGGUUCUGUAGGAAAUUUGUCCCAAUUUUUUAUAUAUGUGUUGGUUUACCAUAUAUCUUUCAAAUUUUGCUAUCAAACAUUUUUCUAUAUCUGGAACCAGCCAGGGUAAAUCAAGCCAGGGGGAUAAAGUUUCAUCAAAUCCUCUUUUCCACUGGACUAAUUCAUAAUAAAGAAUAACAAACAGUUGCUUUUGCUGCCAAUUUGCAAUGAGCAAAUUAUUUUCCUGCUAACUAAUUACUUAAGAAUGUCAAUGAGGAGUUCCCCCAAGUAUCAAUAAUUCAUUUGUACAGACUGGCACCACACCUCAAAAAAAUGCUAGUUCUCUUAUUACUUGGAGCAGCAAAGCCUUCUGCAUUCUCAUAAACAGGCAGGGUACAGGCUACAGGAGUGAGAGUGUCUUAAACCACCCUGUGAGCCUGCCAUAAAAUGCACAGAGGGUGUCAGAUGAGUCCCAGCUCCGUUCUUUGCCUUCCUUGGCUGAAAGCAGCAAUGCAAAACCUGCAACCACAGAACCACAUACCAGAGGCUGCCAAACAGAUAUCUGCACCAACCAAGUCCUAACUCUGGCUGCUCACCUGGGAGUGAAAGGCUCUGUGCCACAUGAGUGAACCUCUGAGCUAUUCACUGCACAGAGACUGUUGCUUUCAGUCAAUAGCGCAGAGAAUAUGGUGACACAAAAGAUUGCCAAUUAAUUACAUUUACAAUAGACUAAUGAAGUGACUUCCUCCAGUACGAAAACUGCUGGAUGAAGUCUCUAGGCAAAGUUAUUUCUCACAAGUUGAUGGUUUUAUCUGUAUCACCCUGUAGCAAUUGUGCCAUGAAUUAAAAUUACUGCUGCAUGGUUUAUAUAAUCAAUUUAUUGGUAUUUCUGUACUUUUUUAUGAGCAUGUCUAACCAGUAUGCUUUUUACAUUGAUUCUCUGAAUGUAGAAUUGGCCAUAGCACUAACUAGAUAUUCAAAUAUUAGAAGGGAAAUAUCCAUGAAUAAGACAGGGUUUUUCUAGCCAAGCCAUUUCACCCAUGGCUCAAUCCUUUGUUACUAGCAUAGGAAUCUCCCAAAUCAUCUGAUAACUCUGGUAGAAGAUUUGCCCAAGCAAGGAGCAAAAGAUAAAGGUGAAAUAACUAUCUUGUAUAAAUCAUAUUGAUUGAUUUCUAACAUUUUCAAAUCAAUUUUAUUAAAAACAAUAACAACAACAAAAAAAAUCUAAAACAGGCUGUCAGCCAAAAUUAAUGAAAAAGCCCACCAGCUUUUACGUAGAUAUACAAAUACUUCCCCUGGACUCUGUUCUCAAUAACAUACUAGUUUUAACCAAGGAACACUUGAGUAUUUGUUAAAUUUUCACUGCUAGGUUUAAAUAGGUCAGAAACUUCCUUGUCACCCUACACAGAGAUACCUCUUGUUCCCACUUUGCACACACAGUGAUUACUCACAGUCUCACCUAGAAUGAACCAAAUACUUUCCUCUGAGGAAAAUCAGGUAUGGCCGAGACUGACUCCCUGUAGGGCACAGUGAGUCCAGAUUUUAGGACAUGACCACGUUUUAUGCUUUCAUCCUUGGACAGGCCUCAAAAUACUACCUCAGCAUCCUCAGCCACUCUGGCUUCUUCAUGUCACAUGGAAGUUCAGCAACCCUGCACAGCACGGGCAGGCUGUAAGCUGAGGUACUGUGCUGAGGGGGUGGCCUGAGGUGGUGUAGGAGAAGAAAAGUUGGGCGAAGAUUUAUUGGUUAGACACCAAAUCAGAAUGAAUCCAAGGUUUUCAGUGUGGACUGCUCAGUACUCAGCCACUCUUUACUCUCUACAGACAUGAUGUAAAAGAGGCCACACAAGUUGAUCUCUGAUGUCUAUAGAUUGCACUCUUUGGCACAAUUCCUAAAGGCAAUGAAAACAUAUUCUCUGGAGCCCCAGUACUUUAAAGCAUUUAAGAUGCUCUUAAAAUUAAGCACACACUUAAGUCUCAUGGUCAUCUGCAUAUUCUUUAGGUCUUUUUGUAUCAUGUCCAGAAAAUUUUGAUGCAUGAGGACUUGUAAAUCAAAUAAGAAAAUAACAAUAAAGAUCCUUGAAUCUAGAUAAGAAAUAGAAUUAUCUUAUUGACAGACUUCUCUCUUCUCCUGAAUGUUAUUCUGCAUCUAAUAAAAAAGACAGUACAAGACUAACAGGAGUCCCAUUCUUGAAUAAAAAGGAGUAGUUAUUGGCUAUUUAACUGCUUGUUUAGAGAUGGGAGAAAAUUAUGUGGAUUUUUUUCAAGCCUAUUUUGAGAAAAAAACAUGAGCAUCCAGAGAGAGCAAGUAGUUCUUUAUUAUGUUCAGUGAUGUGAAUUUCCCAUAUCUUGCUCAUGGUAGCCUGCAUGAACUCUACAAAGCCCCACAUUUAUGAUCUAUCAGUCCAACUUUAAUUUUAUUUGAUCUGUUUCUUAAAAGACAAAUAUGUUACUGGAUGUCUCCACUUUCUAUGGCCUCACCCAGGCUGCUUGGUCACUGUGGUAUAGACAUGUGGAAUGAGGCAUUCAAAGAAACUGGCAAGAAGAUUCACUAUGGAAUGGGGAUCUCAUACUUAAGCAAGAUCUGCUGUGGACAUUGUCUAUGAAAUAAAGGGAAAACUGCUUUAGAAGGAUCUGCUGCCAGUCUUGUCUUGUACCUGCUCACAUUCAGUAGGGUAAAAACGCAUGUGCACCUAGUAUUUUAUCUGGUCUGGGUCUUAUUUUUCAUACUGAGAAAAGUAGUUAUGUUGAUAGCUCAGUGCAUGACAGAGAGCCAAAAACAUCCAAAGUAAGCCACUGUAAAAGAAAGAAUGAUGAUACUGUGUGUCUUCACUGACUGCUUAGUUAACUUGUGAUGAGUGCAACUCAAGAUUGUUGUGGGCUAGCAAACAAUAGAAACCGAAUGUCUGAAGGAAAAUUGUUGAGAAAACAAUUAGAACUGGUGUGAUUUCUUAUCUUCUAGUUCACUUUUCUGGUACAAUUAUCUUCUUUUGCCAGUGAUACCAAAGCACAAUACCUAUUUUGCCUAGUUCCUUCCACAGGUGGUUGAGUUUGCUCAUUGUCUUCACAAUGAUUUGUUAUUUUUCUGUUUAUGCUUGCUGCUCAUGUAGAGUAGAUCACAAAAGAAGCACAGACCUCACCAAGCUGAAUGUCAGAUAUAGACUGGAAGCAGCCUUAGGUGAGUUAAAUGCCUAGGUCUAGGUAGGCAGCCUUUUUGCAUGCAUGGAGCACAGAUGUUUUGUAUCCACUGCUUGACAUCAUUUACUAUAUAGGCUGAACAUGCCUAAAAAUUCUUCAUCUUCUGUCAACAAAGAUCUUUAUAUCCAGAACUGCUUAAGGCCAGAUACUUGCAGAUCACCUUAAAAUCUUAAUAAAAAUUGGCUCAAUUUUGUUCCAGCACUUACUCUUCAAGAAUGCCAGUGUGGCAUUAGGGUCCUGUAUAUUUUUUUGAUUUCAUAAUGAUUUUUAUACAUAAUUCUGGAUUAGCUUUCUCUCAUGUUUUAUUUAUCUUUGAAGUAAUUUUAGCAAUGUUUCCUGAAUUAACCAUAUACAAGCCUUGUGUGGCGCUUCUUGUGAAGAGAACAACAUUCUUUCCAGUUCC
rnacentral:lncRNA from 1 species